AGUGAACGCUGGCGGUAGGCCUAACACAUGCAAGUCGAACGGCGGCACAGUAAGAGCUUGCUCUUACGGGUGGCGAGUGGCGGACGGGUGAGGAAUACAUCGGAAUCUACUUUUUCGUGGGGGAUAACGUAGGGAAACUUACGCUAAUACCGCAUACGACCUACAGGUGAAAGCAGGGGAUCUUCGGACCUUGCGCGAUUGAAUGAGCCGAUGUCGGAUUAGCUAGUUGGCGGGGUAAAGGCCCACCAAGGCGACGAUCCGUAGCUGGUCUGAGAGGAUGAUCAGCCACACUGGAACUGAGACACGGUCCAGACUCCUACGGGAGGCAGCAGUGGGGAAUAUUGGACAAUGGGCGCAAGCCUGAUCCAGCCAUACCGCGUGGGUGAAGAAGGCCUUCGGGUUGUAAAGCCCUUUUGUUGGGAAAGAAAAGCAGCAGGUUAAUACCCCGCUGUUCUGACGGUACCCAAAGAAUAAGCACCGGCUAACUUCGUG
rnacentral:rRNA from 1 species